rnacentral:lncRNA from 1 species
GUGGGUAGGCUUGCCACCAAGCCUGAUGACUGAACUUCCUUGGAGCCCACAUGGUAGAAUGUGAGAAUUAACUCCCACAAGUUGUCAUCUGACAUCCACAUACACAUGGUGGCACACACUCAUGCACAACGCACCCACCCUCCUACACACAUGAAAGUUUUAAAAUACCCCUAGUAUCCAGCAACAGACAGCUAUGUACCAUGAAGCCAAUUAAUCAAGUAUGCAACAGAAACAAUGCCUGACCUUAAUGGCUCAGUACUCUAGGUUCCUCUUAAAAUCUUAGAUGCCUAGACAUAGUGAAAUGGGAAAGAAAUACCUUAAUAACUCCAGAAAUCAAGAAUGAUGAGAAGCUUCUCAAUUUCAGGAGGUCCCAUUUAUUAAUUUCUGAUCUCAGUGUCUGUGCUGCUGGUGUUAUCUUAGGAAGCGGUCUCCUGCACCAAUCCGUUCAAGGGUACCACCUACCUUCUCUUCUCAAUGUGGCUGGAUUUAUGUUGAGGUCUUUGAUCCAUUUGGACUUGUUUUUUGCAUGGUGAUAGAUAUGGAUCUGUCUGCAGUCUUCUACAUGCCAGCAUCCUAGACACACUGGGGAGGAUCUAGGCAUUGCUCCAAAUGAUAUGACAGACUUUGAAGAUAUCCCAUGGAAGGCCUCACCCUCCCAGGAGAGCAGAAACGGGUUGGG